GGGCACUUGGCACAGUUGGUAGCGCGCACGCUUCGCAUGAGCAGAGUUGCCAAGUAGAUGCUUUGCGUGAGGUCAGGAGUUCGACUCUCCUAGUGUCCA